GUGAGGAAUUUUGCGCAAUGGCCGCAAGGCUGACGCAGCAACGCCGCGUGGGUGAUGAAGGCCUUCGGGUCGUAAAGCCCUGUCAGGUGGGAAGAAAGGCCUGGAGAGGAAAGGUUUCAGGUUUGACGGUACCACCAGAGGAAGCACCGGCUAACUCCGUGCCAGCAGCCGCGGUAAUACGGAGGGUGCGAGCGUUAUUCGGAAUUACUGGGCGUAAAGCGCGUGUAGGCGGGGGGACAAGUCUGAUGUGAAAGCCCUGGGCUUAACCUGGGAAGCGCAUUGGAAACUGUUUUUCUUGAGUACUGGAGAGGAAGGGGGAAUUCCCGGUGUAGAGGUGAAAUUCGUAGAGAUCGGGAGGAAUACCAGUGGCGUAGGCGCCCUUCUGGACGGUAACUGACGCUGAGACGCGAAAGCGUGGGGAGCAAACAGGAUUAGAAACCCUUGUAGUCC
rnacentral:rRNA from 1 species